rnacentral:tRNA from 1 species
GCGGACGUGGCUCAGUUGGUAGAGCAUCACCUUGCCAAGGUACGGGUCGUGAGUUCGAAUCUCGUCUUCCGCU